GCAGAAGCCCCGCAGGCGGAAGAGGCCCUGGCCACGAUUUCUGAUGUUGUCUAGGCAACCUCGGGGAGGGGGACCUCCAUCCCCGCCUCUUAUCCCUUCCCUUCCCUCCUCAGACCCCGGAGUGACGCGACUGAUGGGUGCUGGGCCUGGGGGGAUGGAGGUUCUGCUUUCCCAGGCCCGCCCCAGGAGGAGACGGCCACCUUCUCUAGGUCUGCAGACUGUGCUGAGACCCCCACCCUCUUGUCUCCCUGGCCAUGUACUUCUCUGUCCCAGAGACCCUCCCCCCGACACAGGCACAGACACUCACCUGAGGCCAUACUGCCGGAACCCGGAGGGGUAUGUGGGAGACUGCCCGCCAGGGUCCGCACAACCGGGAAGCUGGGGUCGCAAGGGAGGGGAGGAGGGCUGAACCCAGACCCUGGCCAAGUCGCUCCAAGGAUCCCUGGCUCUGGCACCGAGAUGGAAGAAGUAAGGCAGUCUUUCAAAAUUGCCCGCAGGCAGGAGACGGACCUCGGCGGACCUCGGCCGCUGAACUAGCCUCGAAGACCCCGGGGAGUCCCGACUUCCAGCUGUCUGCUCAGGAGGCGAGCAGGCCACGUGCUCCCCAGAGAGCAGGACCCGGAACUCGUCUGUGCUUCUCUCAACACUCUCUGGGUGUUCAGGAUCGGACUAUCGUAGCUGGACUGUGGUGGAGUCACGCAACAGGUGCGACCCCACCGAAGCCUAGCCAGCGCCUCAGGGCGUCUCAGCCGCCCCAGGCCCCGCUGUGCCCGAGGCCCCGCCCCCUCCGGGCAGGCCCCGCCCCCGCCGUGUUCCUCUUCCCCUCGCCACGUGGGCAGCCGCCACUCCGCAGUUAGCCAGGCGGGUCUUGGGCAAGGGUUGUGCGUCAGCUUCCUCAUCAGUGAAAUGGGGCGGUGUAAUUGCACUCAAGGGAGUUGUGAGCAUGAAACGUUAAGCACCUUUGCACGAUGCCUGGCACAAAGUCGAUGGCCCAUAAAAGAGAACUAGUAUUGUCUCAGGACUCAUUCAUUUUGUUUUUUAAGAUUUUAUUUUUAAGUAAUCUCUACACCAAAGGUAGGGCUCGAACUCACAACCCCAAGAUCAAGAGCCACAAGCUCCACCAACUGAGCCAGCCAGGCACCCCCAUUCAUUCACUUUUAGAAGUCAUUCCUGGGCAUUCUCAUUCCGGGUCCUCUGCUUUCUUCUGGCAGGCAUAGAUAAACAGGGUGUGUCCUGCAAUCCAGGCUCUCCUUCCUAAUUUACUUAUGUAUUUAUUGGUUAAAAGCUUAGGCUCUGUAGCCAGAAUGCCUGGGUUCAAUUCCAGCCUCUUCCACCUACUUUGUGAUUGACGGGGAAGUUACUGGACUCUCUGUGCUCCUAUUUCCUCUGGAAAAUGACUGUAAGAGACCCUGCUUUGUAUAGUGAUCGUUAGGAUAAAUGAGUUAAUAUAAAUUAAGUGCUUAGAGCAGCGCCUGGCCUGUAGUUACCACUCAGUUAUUGUCUGCAUCUUAUCAUUGCUAUGUCCUUGUCCUUGGUUCCCUGUUGACAACCUCAUAUGGUGAUGAUUCUCUUGGUGGCCUAGAAAGAAGUGGAGUUGGGAUGUUUGGAGAACUGCAGACACCCCACCCAGCCAGCACCCCCACUCGCAAGUAACACAGAAUCCUACCUAAAGGGAACGGGGGGGGGGGGAAAGGGGGGGAGAUAAGACUUCACUAAACAUAAUCAAGUGUAUUAGCAGUAAUUAAUCUUUUCCCUAUUUCUCCACCUGUGGGAGCCCUUUGUUCCCCACACCCAGUUGUAUUAAUGCUGUUUGUCCAGCUCCUCCCAGUUCUCCCCUACAGCCAAAUUCCUUCCCAAACUCUGCCUCCCCCACCUCUCCCCAAGCUGGAUUCUGGACCCUGGACCCUACUAUCUGUGUGUAUCUGGUGUCACAUCUAUUGAUCUCUGCCUGCUGCUCCUCCUUACCCUGGGCAAACUCAAAAAACUACGGCCUCCAUAAACAUGGCGGGUGGGGGAGUUCACCUCACAAAGAAGCAAUCAAACCAAUAAAACAAAGGAAAUAACGAUGUUUACCCAUCAACUUAGCAAAGAUUAAGGGGAAAAAAUCCUAAUACACACAAGGGUGUAGUGAGAUGGGACACACAUACACUACUGGACACGAACAUCAACAUAAUCUUUCUGAAAGCCAUUUGGUAAUACAUAAUCAAGAGUCUUUCAAAAGUUCCUAUUAUUUAACCUAGUAAUUCCACUUUCAGGAAAUUGUUCUUCUAAAGAGCUGCCAGAAAAAUAUGCACGAAUUUGUUCAUCACUGCAAUGUUUAUCAUAUAGAAAGGCUGGAAACAUAAAGGUCCAACAAUAGGGAAAUGUUUAAAUUUUGUCAUAUGCGUACAAUGAAAUACAACAAUUAAAAAUUGUUCUUGGAGAAUUUCUUAAUGAGGUGGAAAUGUUUACAAUGUAAAGCUUGGUUUCAAAAAAAUGAAUGUAAAAAUCUGUACAUACAGUAUGGCCCUAAUUAUAUGACAUAUAUGCAUAGAAAACAGACACACCAAAAAGUUUACAAAUGAUUAUCUGUGGGUGGUAGAAUUGGGAAUUAUAUUUCCUUCUUUAUACUUAACUGCAUUUAAAAAAUUGUCUACCAUGCAUAGCCAUUACUUUUAUAUAAAUCAAGGGAAUAGGAAACAACAAACAAAUCUGUAACAGCCUCCACACCCCACUCCCAGCAGACCCUCCUGGGUCUUAAUCCCAGACUAAAUUGGUCUUGGGAUCUUUAGGAAUCUUGAAGCUGUUGGGCUCUCAACAAUGAAUGACAAAAUAAA